GUUCUCAUAGUUGAAGUAUACAACAGUGGUUUUUCAAGUCACGGAUCUUGGAGAAAGGCCAAGUGAGAAUA
rnacentral:tRNA from 1 species